UCUCCAGGAGUGAUAAUGGCAGCCUUGGGCUGGCCUUCUGGGCAAGGUGGGUCUUUGCACUAAUCUUGCAUACUCGAAUGCCUCUGCUUCCCCGGAGCUAGAGAGGAAGUGAUAGUCACUUGCAACCUAACAUUACAGCUGCCAGAAACAAGAUGAAGCCAACAGAGCAGACAAAGCCAACAAGCAUCAUUCUUGGUAUCUUGGAUCUGAAUCAACUUGACCCCAGAAGAGAAAAAGAAGCGAGAAAAUGACUGCUCAUGACCAACCCAGAAACCAAUUAAUUUUGAAAGGUAACGUUAGGGAGAUACUGGCGGAGACAGUUUGAUUUUGAGGGAACCUGAGGCUGUACAAGUUGUGGUUGUGCAAACCCUAACACUGAGAGUGCAACAACCCCCACAGACUGACUCAUCCCCCCCUGUCCCACUACCAACCAAGCAAGAGUAUCUCCAGAAACUUCAGUGCAAAGGGUUUGGUAGGAAACUUUUGUUCAUACAGAAUGGCAGACAUUAAAUUGGUUACAAAUAGUUUUAGUAUACUUUUACAUUGAGUUAGAAUAUUACUUACCUUCUCUCUCUCAGGUGAGACCAUGGCCAAUAUACACUGAGUGUACGAAACACAUGCUCUUUCCAUGACAUAGACAGACCAGGUGAAUCCAGGUGAAAGCUGGUAUCCCGUAUUGAUGACACCUUAAUUCACUUCAAUCAGUGUAGAUGAAAGGGAGGAAACAGGUUAAAUAAGUAUUUUAUGCCAUUAGACAUGGAUUGUGUAUGUAUAGAAUAAAACAUGCAUCCUGGCAUUAAUGUAUGUAUUUAUAUGUUAUUGCUACACUUCCAAUAACAUCCUGGCACUAAUGUAUGUAUUUAUAUGUUAUUGCUACACUCCAAAUAACAUCUGCUAACCAUGUGUAUGUGACUAAUACAAUUUGAUUUGAAGUAAAACUGCCAAAAAUUAGCUUUAGGUUUGGGGCAAAUUCAACACAUUACUGGGAACCACUCUCCAUAUGUUCAAGAAUAGUGGUGGCUGAAGCAUGUCAUGGCUAUAUUUGUAAUCGUUAAGAACUGGCAAGUUUUUCAGGUUAAAAAAGAAACGUAAUGGAGCUAAGCACAGGCAAAAUCCUAGAGGAAGACCUGGUUCAGUCUGCUUUACACCAGACACUGGGAGAUGAAUUCACCUUACAGCAGUACAAUAGCCUAAAACACAUGGUCGAAUCUAUACUAGAGUUGCUCACCAAGAAGACAGUGGAUGUUCUUGAGUGGCCGAGUUACAGUUUUGACUUCAAUCUGCUUGAAAAUCUCUAGCCAGACCUGAAAAUGGUCAUCUAGCAAUGAACAACAACCAAUUUGACAGAGCUUGAAGAAUUUUGAAAAUAAUAAUAAUUUAAAAAAUAUGUUCUACAGAUUUUUCACCUUGACGGCUCCUGUAUUCAAACCAGUAACCUUGCACAAUCCAGGUAUGGAAAGCUCUUAGAGACUUACCCAGAAAGACUCACAGCUGUAAUCGCUCUCUAAUCGCUGUAAUCGCUCUCUGACAUGUCUUGGUUCGCCGGAUCUCUCUCGGUGGACAGGGCCGGCUUGGAAAGGAAUUUGGGCCUUUUCGCGGCACGCUUGUAAGGCUCUGAUUGUCCAAAAUGGUUCCGACAAGUCUCAUACUGUUGUCCUUAUUUGUAGUUGUCCGGUAUCUGUUGAUUGUCGUGUAGUCCUGAACAGAACUACAGAGUUUUUUUCCCAUCCAUUCGCUCCUGAAGAUGCUUCUUUGAAGAUAUUUUCCCAGUGGGUUUAUGAGAGUAGCGUAAUACGAUUGAUUGAACAGAGUAGUAGGACAGUACUACUUACAUUUUCUUUCGAAGAUACAUGGGAACAAAGGUCGUACUUUUUGGAGAAAUGUCCUCUGGUCUGAUGAAACAAAAAUAGAACUGUUUGGCCAUAAUGACCAUCGUUAUGUUUAGUGGAAAAAGGGGGGGGCUUGCAAGCCAAAGAACACCAUCCCAACCGUGAAGCACGGGGGUGGCAGCAUCAUGUUGUGGGGGUGCUUUGCUGCAGGAGGGACUGGAGCACUUCACAAAAUAGAUGGCAUCAUAAGGAAAAACAAUUAUGUGGAUAUAUUGAAGCAACAUCUCAAGACAUCAGUCAGGAAGUUAAAGCUUGGUCGCAAAUGGGUCUUUCAAAUGGACAAUGACCUCAAGCAUACUUCCAAAGUUGUGGCAAAAUGGUUUAAGGACAACAAGUCAAGGUAUUGGAGCGGCCAUCACAAAGCCCUGACCUCAAUCCUAUAGACAAUUUGUGGGCAGAACUGAAAAACGUGUGCGCGCAAGGUGGCCUACAAACCUGACUCAGUUACACCAGCUCUAUCAGGAGGAAUUGGCCAAAAUUCACCCAACUUAUUGUGGGAAGCUUGUGGAAGGCUACCCGAAACGCUUGACUCAAGUUAAACAAUUUAAAGGCAAUGCUACCAAAUACUAAUUGAGUGUAUGUAAACCUCUGACCCACUGGGAAUGUGAUGAAAGAAAUAAAAUCUGAAAUAAAUAUUUCUCUACUAUUAUUCUGACAUUUCACAUUCUUUAAAAAAAGUGGUGAUCCUAACUGACCUAAUACAGGGAAUUUUUACUAAGAUUAAAUGUCAGGAAUUGUGAAAAACUGAGUUUGGUGUAUGUAAACUUCCGAAUUCAGCUGUAUGAAGUUUCCAUCCUACGUGUUGUGUAUUUAAUAUGAAAAAUUCCGAAAGUGUUUUUGUUAAGGGUGAGAAAUGUGGGACUGAGAAAACACAGAGGACAAUUGAACUAUACAUGACCUGACCUGGUUGGAACUAUGAAAAACUUACGACAGGAAAGAGGCCCUGUCAAGGUCCCUCUAAUCUGGAGAGGCAUGGAACUGCCAGCUUGGUAGAAUAGUGAUAAACGAGGAAUGUGGACCGUGGGGAAAGAUACAGCCCACCUACUGUUUGUGUAUGUGUGUGUGCAUGUAAGUAGGUGGGGGUGGGAGUUAUAAAACUACAUAUCUUUGCAUUUUUUACUUUAGAACGUUCUCUGAAUAAAGCUUACAAACCUUUUGCAGAAGCUGAGUCUUUGCCUAAUUAUUAUUAAACCCAGGGUCCUACAAACCUCGAGGAUUGGCCAAAGCUUAAAUAAUUGUUUAGUUAUCAUCAUUGGGAUUGAAAAUUCUCGUGACAUUCACGACAGGACGUGAGUUAUUAAUCCCACCUAGUUUUUUCCUCCCCCCUCUGCGAGUGAGAGGGGGUCUGAGUGAUGUUAUUCAUUGCAAAGCUGAUCUGACCUAUUCGGAUUCUCGUGGAUAGUCAUGAGACGGUAC